UACGUAGGUGGCAAGCGUUGUCCGGAUUUACUGGGCGUAAAGCGUGUGUAGGCGGACCUUUAAGUAGAAAGUGAAAAGGUAGGAGCUCAACUCCUACAUUGCUCUCUAUACUGGAGGUCUUGAGUGUCGGAGAGGAAGAUGGAACUGCACGUGUAGCGGUGAAAUGCGUUGAGAUGUGCAGGAACACCAAUGGCGAAGGCAAUCUUCUGGACGAAA
rnacentral:rRNA from 1 species